AUUGAACGCUGGCGGCAUGCCUUACACAUGCAAGUCGAACGGCAGCACGGGAGCAAUCCUGGUGGCGAGUGGCGAACGGGUGAGUAAUAUAUCGGAACGUGCCCGGUCGUGGGGGAUAACGUAGCGAAAGCUACGCUAAUACCGCAUACGAUCUACGGAUGAAAGCGGGGGAUCGCAAGACCUCGCGCGAUUGGAGCGGCCGAUAUCAGAUUAGGUAGUUGGUGAGGUAAAGGCUCACCAAGCCGACGAUCUGUAGCUGGUCUGAGAGGACGACCAGCCACACUGGGACUGAGACACGGCCCAGACUCCUACGGGAGGCAGCAGUGGGGAAUUUUGGACAAUGGGCGCAAGCCUGAUCCAGCAAUGCCGCGUGCAGGAUGAAGGCCUCGGUUGUAACGUAGCUUUGUUACGGU
rnacentral:rRNA from 1 species